AAUAGAUACCCCGGUAGUCCUAGCCGUAAACGAUGAACACUAGGCGUAGUCGGUAUCGACCCCGGCUGUGCCGUAGCUAACGCAUUAAGUGUUCCGCCUGGGGAGUACGGCCGCAAGGCUAAACUCAAAGGAAUUGACGGGGGCCCGCACAAGCAGCGGAGCGUGUGGUUUAAUUCGUCGCAACGCGAAGAACCUUACCAGGGCUUGACAUGUGGCGGAAAACGGCGGAAACGUCGUCCUCCCGCAAGGGACCGUCAUGCAGGUGUUGCAUGGCUGUCGUCAGCUCGUGUCGUGAGAUGUUGGGUUAAGUCCCGCAACGAGCGCAACCCCCGUGGCAUGUUGUAUCUCUCAUGCCAGACUGCCGAGAGAAACUCGGAGGAAGGUGGGGAUGACGCCAAGUCAGCAUGGCCCUUACGUCCUGGGCUACACACACGCUACAAUGGCCGGUACAACGGGUUGCCAAACCGCGAGGUGGAGCUAAUCCCUUAAAGCCGGUCUCAGUUCGGAUUGCAGGCUGCACUCGCCUGCAUGAAGCC
rnacentral:rRNA from 1 species